rnacentral:rRNA from 1 species
UACGAAGGGGGCUAGCGUUGUUCGGAAUUACUGGGCGUAAAGCGCGCGCAGGCGGUCUUCCAAGUCAGUGGUGAAAGCCUGGAGCUCAACUCCAGAACUGCCAUUGAAACUGUUAGACUUGAGUACGAGAGAGGUGAGUGGAAUUCCCAGUGUAGAGGUGAAAUUCGUAGAUAUUGGGAAGAACACCGGUGGCGAGGGCGGCUCACUGGCUCGUAACUGACGCUCAGGCGCGACAGCGUGGGGAUCAAACAGG